CCUACGGGUGGCUGCAGUGGGGAAUAUUGGACAAUGGGGGGAACCCUGUUCCAGCCAUGCCGCGUGUGUGAAGAAGGCCCUCGGGUUGUAAAGCACUUUCAGUGAGGAAGAACGCCUGGUGGUUAAUACCCAUCAGGAAAGACAUCACUCACAGAAGAAGCACCGGCUAACUCCGUGCCAGCAGCCGCGGUAAUACGGAGGGUGCGAGCGUUAAUCGGAAUUACUGGGCGUAAAGCGCGCGUAGGUGGCUUGAUAAGCCGGUUGUGAAAGCCCCGGGCUCAACCUGGGAACGGCAUCCGGAACUGUCAAGCUAGAGUGCAGGAGAGGAAGGUAGAAUUCCCGGUGUAGCGGUGAAAUGCGUAGAGAUCGGGAGGAAUACCAGUGGCGAAGGCGGCCUUCUGGACUGACACUGACACUGAGGUGCGAAAGCGUGGGUAGCAAACAGGAUUAGAUACCCUUGUAGUC
rnacentral:rRNA from 1 species